rnacentral:rRNA from 1 species
AACGAACGCUGGCGGCAUGCCUAACACAUGCAAGUCGAACGAGAUCUUCGGGUCUAGUGGCGCACGGGUGCGUAACGCGUGGGAAUCUGCCCUUUGGUUCGGAACAACAGUUGGAAACGACUGCUAAUACCGGAUGAUGACGAAAGUCCAAAGAUUUAUCGCCAGAGGAUGAGCCCGCGUAGGAUUAGCUAGUUGGUGUGGUAAAGGCGCACCAAGGCGACGAUCCUUAGCUGGUCUGAGAGGAUGAUCAGCCACACUGGGACUGAGACACGGCCCAGACUCCUACGGGAGGCAGCAGUGGGGAAUAUUGGACAAUGGGCGAAAGCCUGAUCCAGCAAUGCCGCGUGAGUGGUGAAGGCCUUAGGGUUGUAAAGCUCUUUUACCCGGGAUGAUAAUGACGGUACCGGGAGAAUAAGCUCCGGCUAACUCCGUGCCAGCAGCCGCCGUAA